rnacentral:rRNA from 1 species
AUUGAACGCUGGCGGCAGGCCUAACACAUGCAAGUCGAACGAGUGGCGGACGGGUGAGUAAUGUGUGGGAAACUGCCCGAUGGAGGGGGAGAACUACUGGAAACGGUAGCUAAUAUCGCAUACCAUUGGAUGUGCCCAGAUGGGUUUAGCUUGUAGGUGAGGGAACGGCUCACCUGGGCGACGAUCCCUAGCUGGUCUGGGAGGAUGACCAGCCACACUGGAACUGAGACACGGUCCAGCCUCCUACCUGAGGCAGCAGUGGGGAAUAUUGCACAAGGGGCGCAAGCCUGAUGCAGCCAUGCCGCGUGUAUGAAGAAGGCCUUCGGGUUGUAAAGUCCUUUCAGCGGGGAGGCGUUACCCGCAGAAGAAGCCCCGGCUAACUCCGUGCCAGCAGCCGCGGUAAUAC